AGAAGAAAAAACCCUUUGAAGUUAAAGAAAAGAACUCCAAAUGCCAGGAACUGUAAAGCAUUCCUGCUGGAUCCACUUUAUUCGAGACAGAAUUGAACUGAGAGAGGACAGCACUGUUCCAGAACAUGAAGAUGUCUUCUGCUGACCUUCCGCCUCUAUCCUGUACCAGCUCCACCAUUUGACAUUCUUUGUUGAAGUAGCUUUCGCCUCAGGGCAGGUUCAGCAGCUAAGGAGAAAGAUACAGUGAAUCUGAAACAGAACCAACAUUCUGAACACUUACCACGCUUGCAGCCCUGCAUUAGCCAGCAGAAGGUUGAAAGAAGUGGUCAAGUUAAUGACAAUGCAACCCUACUUAUUUCUUUGUUAAUGCAUGUAAGACACUGUUUCAGAGGAAGAGUGAACAAAUUGAUACUGCU
rnacentral:lncRNA from 1 species